GAUGAACGCUGGCGGCGUGCCUAAUACAUGCAAGUCGAGCGAAUGGAUUGAGAGCUUGCUCUUAUGAAGUUAGCGGCGGACGGGUGAGUAACACGUGGGUAACCUGCCCAUAAGACUGGGAUAACUCCGGGAAACCGGGGCUAAUACCGGAUAACAUUUUGAACCGCAUGGUUCGAAAUUGAAAGGCGGCUUCGGCUGUCACUUAUGGAUGGACCCGCGUAGCAUUAGCUAGUUGGUGAGGUAACGGCUCACCAAGGCAACGAUGCGUAGCCGACCUGGGAGGGUGAUCGGCCACACUGGGACUGAGACACGGCCCAGACUCCUACGCGAGGCAGCAGUAGGGAAUAUUCCGCAAUGGACGAAAGUCUGACGGAGCAACGCCGCGUGAGUGAUGAAGGCUUUCGGGUCGUAAAACUCUGUUGUUAGGGAAGAACAAGUGCUAGUUGAAUAAGCUGGCACCUUGACGGUACCUAACCAGAAAGCCACGGCUAACUACGUGCCAGCCGCCGCAGUAA
rnacentral:rRNA from 1 species